ACUCAAAUGAAUAGACGGGGGCUCACACAAGCGGUGGAGCAUGUGGCUUAAUUCGAGGCUACGCGAAGAACCUUAUCCUGGGCUUGACAUGUCCGCAAGGGUUAAGACGUAGGGACCGGAAACGGCACCCGACAGGUAUCCAAUCCUGAGCUUAACACAGGUGCUGCAUGGCUGUCGUCAGCUCGUGUCGUGAGAUGUCGGGUUAAGUCCCAUAACGAGCGCAACCCCUGUCUUCAGUUGCCAGCGAGUAACGUCGGGGACUCUGAAGAGACUGCCGGUGUCAAACCGGAGGAAGGUGGGGAUGACGUCAAGUCCUCAUGGCCUUUAUGCCCAGGGCUGCACACGUGCUACAAUGGCGUGAACAGAGGGACGCGACUGCGCGAGCAGGAGCCGAUCCCAAAAAACACGCCCCAGUUCAGAUCGCAGGCUGCAACUCGCCUGCGUGAAGUUGGAAUCGCUAGUAAUCGCGGGUCAGCAACACCGCGGUGAAUGUGUUCCUGAGCCUUGCACACACCGCCCGU
rnacentral:rRNA from 1 species